AACGAACGCUGGCGGCAUGCCUAACACAUGCAAGUCGAACGAAAGCAGCGGGCCUGGUCGCGGAUUGGGCCGUAGCCCGUGGGGACCUGCCCAUGAGUCCGCCUGAACUCCCCGAAAGACGUCCUGAUACCGGCUAUUAUCCUCCGUCCAAAGGUUUAUUGCGUUUGGGUGGGCUCGCGUCGGAUUACUUGGUUGUUAGGGUAAAUGCCUACCAAUGCGACGUUCCAUAGCUGGUAUGAGAGGAUGAUCCGACACACUGGUGAUGAGACACGGCCCAGACUCCUACGCGAGGCAGCAGUGGGGAAUACAGGACAAUGGGGGAUGGCCUGAUCCAGCAAUGCCUGGUAAGCGAUGAAGGUCGUAGGGAUGUAAAGUUAUUUUACACGGGAUGAUAAUGACAGUACCGGGAGAAUAAGCACCGGCUAACUACGUG
rnacentral:rRNA from 1 species